rnacentral:rRNA from 1 species
GAUGAACGCUGGCGGCGUGCCUAAUACAUGCAAGUCGAGCGAACAGACGAGGAGCUUGCUCCUCUGACGUUAGCGGCGGACGGGUGAGUAACACGUGGAUAACCUACCUAUAAGACUGGGAUAACUUCGGGAAACCGGAGCUAAUACCGGAUAAUAUAUUGAACCGCAUGGUUCAAUAGUGAAAGACGGUUUUGCUGUCACUUAUAGAUGGAUCCCGGCCGCAUGAGCUAGUUGGUAAGGUAACGGCUUACCAAGGCGACGAUGCGUAGCCGACCUGAGAGGGUGAUAGCCCACAUGGGAACUGAGACACGGUCCAGACUCCUACGGGAGGCAGCAGUAGGGAAUCUUCCGCAAUGGGCGAAAGCCUGACGGAGCAACGCCGCGUGAGUGAUGAAGGUCUUCGGAUCGUAAAACUCUGUUAUUAGGGAAGAACAAAUGUGUAAGUAACUAUGCACGUCGUGACGGUACCUAAUCAGAAAGCCACGGCUAACUACGUG